rnacentral:rRNA from 1 species
CCUACGGGGGGCUGCAGUGGGGAAUAUUGGACAAUGGGGGGAACCCUGAUCCAGCCAUGCCGCGCGUGUGAAGAAGGCCCUCGGGUUGUAAAGCACUUUCAGUGGGGAAGAACGCCUGGUGGUUAAUACCCAUCAGGAAAGACAUCACUCACAGAAGAAGCACCGGCUAACUCCGUGCCAGCAGCCGCGGUAAUACGGAGGGUGCGAGCGUUAAUCGGAAUUACUGGGCGUAAAGCGCGCGUAGGUGGCUUGAUAAGCCGGUUGUGAAAGCCCCGGGCUCAACCUGGGAACGGCAUCCGGAACUGUCAAGCUAGAGUGCAGGAGAGGAAGGUAGAAUUCCCGGUGUAGCGGUGAAAUGCGUAGAGAUCGGGAGGAAUACCAGUGGCGAAGGCGGCCUUCUGGACUGACACUGACACUGAGGUGCGAAAGCGUGGGUAGCAAACAGGAUUAGAUACCCGGGUAGUC